rfam:Ictidomys tridecemlineatus contig040263, whole genome shotgun sequence.
UGUUGUGGCUCAGUGGUAGAGCACUCACCUGGCACGUGUGGGGCACUGGGUUUGAUCCUUAGCACAACAU